rnacentral:rRNA from 1 species
GAAUUUUGCGCAAUGGGCGGAAGCCUGACGCAGCAACGCCGCGUGGAGGAUGAAGGUCUUUGGAUUGUAAACUCCUGUCAGCAGGGAAAAAGGGACUGGGCCUCAUACGUCCGGAACUUGAUUGUACCUGCAGAGGAAGCCCCGGCUAACUCUGUGCCAGCAGCCGCGGUAAUACAGAGGGGGCAAGCGUUAUUCGGAAUUAUGGGGCGUAAAGGGCGCGUAGGCGGCUUUGCAAGUGACGGGUGAAAUCCCUCGGCUUAACCGAGGAACUGCCUGUCAGACUGUGAGGCUUGAGACCGGGAGAGGUGAGUGGAAUUCCCAGUGUAGCGGUGAAAUGCGUAGAUAUUGGGAGGAACACCAGUGGCGAAGGCGGCUCACUGGACCGGAACUGACGCUGAGGCGCGAAAGCGUGGGGAGCAAACAGG